UAGUCAUAUGCUUGUCUUAAAGACUAAGCCAUGCAUGUCUAAGUAUAAGUAUUAUACAGCGAAACUGCGAAUGGCUCAUUAAAACAGUUAUAGUUUAUUCGAUUAUUUUCUCCUACAUGGAUAACCGUAGUAAUUCUAGAGCUAAUACAUGCUGUCAAACCUGACUUUUGUGGAAGGGUUGUAUUUAUUAGAUACCAAAACCAGCGCCCGCAAGGGCCUGUGAUGAUUCAUAAUAACUGAGCGGAUCGCGGCCUUGCCGCGACGAAUCGUUCAAGUUU
rnacentral:rRNA from 1 species